UACAAUGUUUGACUCUUUGUCUUAUUUUAAAAAAAUACGAUUAAUAUUUUUAUUUUUAUUAUAUGAUAAAAUAUAAAUAGCAUUUUACGUGUGACUAAUUUUUUUAAAAAAAUUUCAAAUAAGACGAAUGGUCAAACACUCGACACGAAAACCGA
rnacentral:pre_miRNA from 1 species